CUCAGAAUUCUUUUAAAAGUUAGAGGGGCAAAGUUGCAUCUCCAAAGCUUCCUCUGUUUACAGUUGUCUUCUCAUAAAUUUCAUGGUGAACAACCUACUCUCUAUAAGGAAGGCAAAACCAAACAAGCAAAUAGACAAAAAACUAGCAAAGAAAACUCACUAUUUCUAGCAAAGAAGUACAUUUUGAUGGUAAUUAAGGAUUGUAGAUGAUACUUUCUGUUAUCUAAACAGAGUAAGCCUGUCUUGGGUUACAUUUAAUCCCCUAAUAUUUGAUAUUAAAAACUGAUCCUAAAAAUAUUUGAAUAGCAUUAAUUAAUAUAUUUGUGUGAUAUAUUAUAAACCCAAGAACAAUAUUUAAAUGGUAUACAAUAGACAUUAUAUAAUAAACAGUAAACUUCAU
rnacentral:lncRNA from 1 species